AGCUCCCUGGAGUGUGCGCCAGUUGGUGAUGUCCCUGAGCCGAUUCGCACAACCCCGGAGGUUGCACGUUGAGACCGGUGUGCAUGUCCGCUUGACGGAAAGCCUUAACGUCUCCUGCAACCUCCACCUUGAACUUUCGGGUUCAAGGGCUAAGCCGACAGCGGCACGUCGGGGAGUCA
rfam:Pseudomonadales bacterium RIFCSPHIGHO2_02_FTLL_60_43 rifcsphigho2_02_scaffold_41591, whole genome shotgun sequence.